rnacentral:rRNA from 1 species
UACGUAGGCGGUUCGGUAAGUCAGGUGUGAAAUCCCGGGGCUCAACCCCGGAACUGCACCCGAUACUGCCGGACUUGAGUAAUGGAGAGGCAGGUGGAAUUCUCGGUGUAGCAGUGAAAUGUGUGGAUAUCAAGAGGAAGACCAAUGGCGAAGGCAGCCUGCUGGACAUUUACUGACGCUGAGGUACGAAGGCCAGGGGAGCGAAAG